rnacentral:lncRNA from 1 species
AACUCUAUUUAUGAUAAGUAUUUAUACGUGACAGUGCCAAAGGACUUGGGAUCGCUUUGUCAGCUUUUUGGGUUUGAGCGUGAGCCAGAACCACGAGAACCUUUGGGUUUGAGCGUGAGCCAGAACCAUGAGAAGUAUGUGAGCUACGAGAGCCAUGAUAGCUAUGUGAGCUAUAACUGGGUGUGAGGGAUGACACAGAUGUAACCAGUGGAACUGUAGGAGAACCAUCUGCAAGAGAUGUCUACAGACUAGCGUGGUGGCGGACUGUUGUUAGGAUGUCUGCAAGAGAUGUCAACAGCCAACCAUCCAAGAUGUGCUAGUGUCUGGUCGUCAUCAAGAUACUGAUAGUAUUCGCAAUGACAGUGAAUUUCAGAUGAGUGUAUACUGAUACAAAAUUGAACUGGUUCAAAAUGAUUAUUUAACUAAGGUUUGAACAUUGACUAGAAGCUAGUUGGCUCAGACUGGCUUACCAUGGACACCAGAUUACAGUUUUUUGGGGGGUUUAAUUUAAGGUUGGGGUAGUGAUGUGUUUGGAGUGAAAUCGUCAUUGUGUAUAUUUAUAUUUUGUAGAUAAAUUUGUUGAAAUG